ACGCGCUGCCUUUGAGCCCCCGGCGCACCUCUGUGGUCCCGGGGGUUAAGCUGCAGCGCCAUAGCAAUUGCUGGCGCAUAACUGGGGCCGCCUGCCCGUCGCGGGCGGCCCUUUUAACCGCCAGCUACACGG
ensembl:snoRNA